GAGAAAAAUAUGAAAUAUGAGACACGGGCUGAGAAGCUCUGAGUGCUGGUGGAGCAGGGAAUCUCCAGAGUUCUGUUCUGCUGAAAAACACCAGAAACACGUUCUGAUUCUGAGUUUGAUUUAUUUUAACAAGCAAAUAAUCACCAGGAAAGAAAACAACAAGAUCCAAAACCAGGAAACACAUGAAAGGCAUGGAAUAAAAAUUGGCUUCGGUAUGGAAUACAAAAGAUCUGAAUACAAUACAAUACAAUCUGAACACAAAACUGAAACAAAGUUAUUUAAACAACAAACUAAUUACGGGGUGAAUCAAAACCAGCUGAGAUUUCUUAAGACACAUAAGGGAGAUGCUAGAUCGAUCUAUCUAUCUAUCUAUCUAUCUAUCUAUCUAUCUAUCUAUCUAUCUAUCUAUCUAUCUGUCUGUCUGUCUGUCUGUCUGUCUGUCUGUCUGUCUGUCUGUCUGUUUGUCUGUCUGUCUGUCUGUCUGUUUGGGUGUGAAAGAGUCUAAUCCCAUCUAAACACAUUACUGCAAUUCUGCAACAAUCUAGAUCAUGUAAUGUAACAAAACAGACCAAUUGCAAAAAAGUCCUCAAAAUAAACUGGUAUUAUUGCAAAUUCCUCAGAAAAGAGAAAAGUUAUAGCAAGUUCCAUGUGCUGCAGGGUCAGCACAUCAUUCCACCCUUCUAGAAGAUACUAAAAUAAAUUAUGAUGCUGAACUUCACAAGUCUCUUAACAGAUGUGAGAACGAAAAUUAAAAAAAAGGUGUUUGAGUACACAUGUAGUAACCUCAAGGUUAAAAUGCUGCAAAGGGUUUUACACCUGCAUCAUCUAAAUGUGGCUUUCAAUUGUGGUGGAAAAAAGUCACAGUAUUUUUGCCCCACGUUUGUUUGUCAGAAGCAAUGCAAAUUUACUAAAGAGAACGGAGAGCAGUUAAGUUUUAAUAGAAACGCCGUAUUAAGGUGAUGUAUUUUUUAGCAGGGGUGUCAUGAAUAUAUACAUAAAUUACAUAUUAAUCAGUUCUGUUAAUAGUUGCAAUAAUAAUGAUAAUAAUAAUGAGGAAGAAUUACACACAUUGUCUUUGUGCAGCAUUUGUUGUGCAUGUCCAUGAUAAACGCACAAUUUUGGCGCAGCGUCAAUAAAAAUCACAAAUUUAAAAAAUCGACUGCGCCUUCGUUACGCUGAACGACUUAUUUUUGUAAUUCACUUCUAAAAUGCUGGAAAAUUCAGUCUAUCUGAACUGAAAGAAAGUUUUUUUUGUUAUAACCACAAGCCUUUCCAGAGUAUCAGUGUUCUCUGCACCGUUACCACAAACGCAAUUGAGCAUGAGAGCAUUAGAUUUUAACUGGGCAAUGAACCUGAUGAGCGUCAUCAACUUAAGUCGUCAGAAAUACAGAAGUGUGAAAACCAGAAACCUCAGACUCGAUAUGUCAUUUGUGUUUUGAGUCGGAGCCCUAAAGGACAAGUCUUUUAUUGCCUUCUGUAAGUACAUCGUCAUGAUGUCCAAAAGAACUGCAAAUUAAAUAAAUAGUAGUAGAUGCAGUCAAUGUUGCUUGAUGUGACUUAGUUUUACUUGUUAAAUGCAUGAAUCUGCAGUCUGCACUUUUUUUUUGGUAAAUUUUCUUAUUGUAUUUUUUUUUUAGUUGACAUUUAACAUUAGAUGUUUUACUCAUUCAGCCUGGUUUAGGUUUCUAUUUCUCCACAGCAGAGCUGUUUAAAGCUGACGGGCCGCAACGAUGAACAGCACCGUUUGGGAAACCACCGAGACCAGCAAUGAAGUCAUGAAUAUAAACAGCAAGACGACACCGGAUUACUCUGAGUUCCACAGCUAUGGCACGACACUGGAUUACUCUGAAUACUACAGCUAUGGCAUUGAUGACGAUUCAAGCCCCUGUGAUUAUUAUGUAAAUACAAAACACAUUCUCCCGGUGCUCUACUCCGUGUUCUUCAUGGUGGGUUUGCUGGGAAACAUGCUGGUGCUGUGGGUGAUCCUGAGAGGUUCUCAGAUUAAAACAAUGACUGACGUGUCUCUCCUGAACCUGGCCAUCGCUGAUCUUCUGCUAAUCUUCUCUCUCCCCUUCCUGGCUCACUAUGCCAGAGGAAGCUGGACUUUCGGUAAUGGCAUGUGCACCCUGGUCCUCGGCGUGUACUACAUCGGAUUUUACUCUGGAAUUUUCUUUAUCGUGCUGAUGAGCAUCGACAGAUACUUGGCGAUCGUCCAUGCCGUGUUCGCCUUGAGGAUCCGUACAAGGGCUUAUGGGAUUUUCGCGAGCAUCUUCGUCUGGAUUCUCGCUGUUAUAGCAUCAUUUCCUGAGCUCCUGUAUCUUAAAGAGGAACACACUUUUGACAAAGUCAUUUGCAGCGCGUAUCCAAAAGACACAAGACACAAUGAAAUAAGAAGUGGAGCGUUCUUUAAAAUGAAUGUUUUGGGGCUGCUGAUUCCACUCAUCAUUGUGGGAUUUUGUUACUUGAUGGUACUAAGGAGGCUUCAGACACUUCGUAAUUCCAAGAAACUGGCCAUUCGUCUUGUUAUUGCUGUCAUGGUGGUGUUCUUCUGCUGCUGGACACCGUACAACAUCGCAGCGUUCCUCAAGGCACUGGAACUCAGGUACCCUGAUUCUACAGAGUGUGAACUCAGCAAAAACACUCAGCUGCUGCUGCAGAUCACUGAAGCCGUGGCGUAUUCACACAGCUGCCUCAACCCGUUCCUCUACGUGUUCGUGGGUGAAAAGUUCAGGAGGCAUCUCGGCAGGCUCCUGCACCAGACCCCAUGCAUCCAUGUGCAGUGUGUAAAGAACUACAUGACCCAGGCCACAGGCUCUGUGUAUUCACAGACCACGAGUGUGGAGGAACGCUCAGCUGGUGUCUGAAUCGUAGAGGAACAUCUCAAAUUAUUACAAUCUCAUUUAGAUGCAUUAGUGAAAAGGUGACUAAUGUGUUUAUAUACAUAUAUCAUUGCUUUUAGAUUAGUCCUAUAUUUUAAGCUACUUUUGUUGAGAGCAUAUUAACCUGUAAGAUUCCUUUUUUGCUGAAGUGAUUCCCUGUACAUUUCUCAUACCUUCACUAUGUACACUUUAUGGCUAAAAGGAUGUGGACGCCUGACCAUUAGACCCCUUAUUAAUCUUCAAAAUCAAAAGAUCAGUUUCACCUGCUGCUGUAACAGUCUAUUAUUAUUAUUAUUAUUUUAUUAUUAUUAUUAUUUUAUUAUUAGAUCUUAAAAUCUGAGAAUAUUUUCUGGAAUCAUUCAGGUAUGUUGGAUAAGAGCAGGAUCUGAUGUUGGCUGGUGUGCAUUUGGCGGUAGAUUGGUGGUUAAGGCAUUGAACAUUGAAACAUAUGGGUUCAAAUCCCAGCCAUAACAAACUGCCACUGCUGGGCCCCUGAGUAAGACCCUUAACCCCAUAGCUGCUCGGUUGUAUGAAUGAGAUAAAAAUGUAAGUUUGUUUGAAUAAGUGCGUCUGCCAAAUGAUGAUAUUAAAAAAACUCUGAAGGGUUUCCCCAAUUAAUGUUUACAAACUGUUGGCGAAACCCCCACCAACAAAUGGAUGGUCGGGUGUCCAAAUAAUUUUGGCCACAAUUUGUAUGCAUUUUAAACUAAUGAUGUAGUGUGUACGUUUAAAAGCUUAUGGACGUAUCACACAAGCUUGUUGGUUCUAGAGUUUUUCUGAGAAUAAUUGCUGUAUGUAUAUUGUUUUUUUCUAUUCUUCUGCUUGAGUGAAAAGAAAUUUGUGUUUUAGGUCAAAAGACAAAUAUGAGACAAUGGAUGUGAGAUUCGUCUUUCACUUCCUGAGAUUUACACCAAGAGUCGUUAAGAGCUCAGAACACCUACGGUUGCAAACUUCAUGAGUAAAAGUAUUGGAACAGAUAAAAGUCUAUAAUAUGUAUAUUUGCACAUCUGGACAGACAGACAGACACUGUCUCGUGAUGCAAAAGCUUUCAGUUGGUUGUUUGUCUCUGAUUCAGGAGAUAUGUGGUCUUCAUGCGGUUAAUAUCUGAUAAUUAAUUUUGAUAAAAUCUGAUGAGUCUGUAUUGUAUAUUCUCCCUGACGAGGUACUUUAUCGAGUCGGCAGCGUGUUUUUGUAUCAUUGCCUUUUCAACACGUGAUAGAAAAAGUUCCUUCAGUGAGAUUCGAUACGUUUCUGAAUGAACCUGCAGACAGAAUUUCACCCAAUUUCUCUUUCUUGGUUUGAAUUUCUUUGAAUUCGAAUUCCAGUCUGGGCUUUUGAGACUCUUGAGGUUUGUGGUAUGGCCUAUAUAUUUCGUUUCUCACAGUAAUUGAACAUGUUGUAUUGUAUUGUGGCACUUAAACGCCUUCCCUGUGGUUGUUAUUGGUGAUAUCACUAUUUGUUUUUUGAAGCUCUCACAACUGCUGCUGUUUUAUUAGCCGUCAUGUUCAGCAUCUGCUUGUUAGUACACCAGUAUUGGCUACACCAAAGCGUGAUUGCCCUCUUCUUGCCUUUCUCACAUAGACAGCUCUCUGGUUUUUAUGUUGGUUUAUACUUUCCAGGACUCAUACAAAGUCUAAACAUCCAAAACUAUGAAGAACAGAAUGCCUCUAUGGAGCAGGACGCACCCGAGCAGCACAGGUCCAUCGUACAGUACUGUCACGAGCUUUCAGCAGGUGUGUAGAAAUGCUGUACGUAAGAAAACGAUUUCAGAAAUAUAAAACAUGCGAUGAGGACUGUAGACACAGUGGUCAGCCAAGGAAACAAGGAAAGAGAGAUUAUGCUGACUUCCCUUCAACAUCAGAAGAGCAGUGACAUUAACAAAGACCUGAAGGAAACCAGUGGGUCUCAGGUACACCAAUCUACUGUCUGAAGAAGUCUGGGCAGAGGUGAUCUUUACAAAAGAAUUGUGGCCAUAGAGCCAAAACCCCAACAUGGAAACAAGGCCAAGAGUCUCAACGCUGCAGGUUUGGAGCUGCUUUUCUGCAGAUGGAAAUGUGGUCAGGAUUAAUGGUGUCCUCAAAGCUGAGGCAGAUUCUUUAUCAUGCAGGACCAUCAGGGAGGUUUGUCCCUGAAUUUAUUCUGCAGCAGCACAACGAGCCCAAACACACAGCCGACAUCAUUAAGAACGUUCCUGGAAGUGAUGGUCUGCUUGGGAUUACACGAAGAGACAGAAAGAUUGGAGGAAGCCUACAUACACAGAAGAUCUGAGUGCACACAACAAACUACAGGAAUCUUUUACCUCGAGGAUUAUUGUAAUUACUACCUGGAAGUUUUAAUACGUGCAGGAAUAAUCAGCUCUAAUCAGUCAUGAAACAGCAAAAGGUUCUUUACCAGAGUCUGAAGAUACGACCACAGUACCCGAGGAAGAAGGAAAAACUACCUGAUGGAAGAGCUGCAGACUGUUUGUUGUUACCUCGAAUACUGAAGGCUACAGCAGGGGGCAGUGUUUUCUCUCACAAAGACAGACAUCCGGGCACAAUUAGUGUCUAGAAUUCAGACAGUCUGUGUUCAAGGCGAGAUUGAAAGACAUGUUGUUUAGUCAAGUGAAUUACUGGUGAAUUUAAUCAUACAGAGAAAUAAAAAGACAUGAGAAAAUGUAGAACUACAGGAACUAAGCAGACCAACACACAGGAGUACUUACAACAGUGAGCAGAGUGUGUCCAAAUCUAAUUAUAGACUCAAUGUUUUUGCGUAAAGAGUUUUAUAUACUAGUGAGAGAAACUAACCAUAUGCUGAGCAUCGUGCAUGUCUCCCUAGAGUCCUGUAUCCAUCACAAAAACUGAAGUAUGAAGACCAAAAACUUCAGACAUCAGCAUUUUAUUUGAUUGGACUCUGAGUUCAUGUUAAUGUUUACUGCUGUGUUUGGUAACAAUGUGCAGGUUACUGCUACAAAUAAACUAAAAUUUCACUAUGACAAAUUUAUUUAUUUAUUUAAGAAUUAUUUAUUUAAGAUUAAUUUAUUUAAGAUGUAGCAUAAACCUUGACCACUGGUUUCAUGUAAUUGCUGUAUGAAUGAAAAGAGUAUUACGCGGCACCAUGCUGAUAUUAUAGGAAUCAUAGAGCACACUGGUGUUUUAUACUGUAUAAGAUGUGAUAAUGUUAAAUAUU